rnacentral:rRNA from 1 species
UACGGAGGGUGCAAGCGUUGUUCGGAAUUACUGGGCGUAAAGAGCGUGUAGGCGGUUGAUUAAGUCAGGUGUGAAAGCCCUUGGCUCAACCAAGGACGUGCAUCUGAAACUGGUCUACUUGAGUACGGGAGAGGAGAGUGGAAUUCCUGGUGUAGAGGUGAAAUUCGUAGAUAUCAGGAGGAACACCGGUGGCGAAGGCGCCUCUCUGGACCGAUACUGACGCUGAGACGCGAAAGCGUGGGGAGCAAACAGG